rnacentral:tRNA from 1 species
GGGGAUGUGGCUCAGUGGUAGAGUGCUUGCCUGGCAUGCAUGAGUUUCUGGGUUCAAUCCUCAGCACCA